UACGUAGGGUGCGAGCGUUAAUCGGAAUUACUGGGCGUAAAGCGUGCGCAGGCGGUUUUGUAAGUCAGAUGUGAAAUCCCCGGGCUCAACCUGGGAACUGCGUUUGAAACUACAAGGCUAGAGUGUAGCAGAGGGGGGUAGAAUUCCACGUGUAGCAGUGAAUGCGUAGAGAUGUGGAGGAAUACCAAUGGCGAAGGCAGCCCCCUGGGUUAACACUGACGCUCAUGCCACGAAAGCGUGGGGAGCAAACAGG
rnacentral:rRNA from 1 species